UACGUAGGCAGCGAGCGUUGUUCGGAGUUACUGGGCGUAAAGAGUGCGUAGGCGGUUUUCUAAGUUUGGUGUGAAAUCUCCCGGCUUAACUGGGAGGGUGCGCCGAAAACUGGAAGGCUUGAGUAUGGGAGAGGUAAGCGGAAUUCCUGGUGUAGCGGUGAUAUGCGUAGAUAUCGGGAGGAACACCUGUGGCGAAGGCGCCUAUCUGGCUGACAACUGACGCUGAGACUCGAAAGCAUGGGGAGCAAACAGG
rnacentral:rRNA from 1 species